UGAUAUUCCUAAAUCUCCCUCCUGAGGUAAUGAUAUUCCUAAAUCUCCCUCCUGAGGUAAUGAUAUUCCUAAAUCUCCCUCCUGAGGUAAUGAUAUUCCUAAAUCUCCCUCCUGAGGUAAUGAUAUUCCUAAAUCUCCCUCCUGAGGUAAUGAUAUUCCUAAACCUCCCUCCUGAGGUAAUGAUAUUCCUAAACCUCCCUCCUGAGGUAAUGAUAUUCCUAAACCUCCCUCCUGAGGUAAUGAUAUUCCUAAAUCUCCCUCCUGAGGUAAUGAUUUUCCUAAAUCUCCCUCCUGAGGUAAUGAUUUUCCUAAAUCUCCCUCCUGAGGUAAUGAUAUUCCUAAAUCUCCCUCCUGAGGUAAUGUCUGUGAUUUGAAACAGGACAUUCUAGAAUAGAUCAUCUUCCUACAGAGAUGACAGGCCUCACUCUUCUUAUGGGCUACUUCUAAGAUGGAGCACCUUCAUUAUGUACACUCCAAGAGUACCUAUUUGUUGUCAGGAUUGAUCUGGGGGGAAAAUUGUCGUGUACAUUUUCUGCAGAAGCCAGCCACGUGUGGUGCUGAUUGCUUCUUUAUUUAGUCAAUGUCUGUGCAGCUUCUCCAAAGAACCUGCUUGGAGCAGCUUACAGAGUAAAGCAAGGUACUAUAAUAAAACAGCAUACAUGUAAUUAAAAUUUUCAGCCCACUAAAACUCAGCCCAAAAAAUUAAAAAGCAGCACAAAACAUUGAUCAGCCUAAGAUAAGCCUUCUAAGCAGUCCUCAGACUACAAGCAGAGUCUAAAAGAACAACUUUAAAAUGUUAUAACCUUUCAGUUAAAGGUGUACAAAGAAAUGUUUUGACCUGUCGUCUGAAAGAGAAGGGGGUAGGCUCCCGAUAAGCCUCAAGGGGAAGAGUGUUCCAAAGAAGGGAAGCCCCGCCCCCCAAAAGACCCCUGUCUCUGUUUGCCACUGACUUCACCUCUGCAGGUGAUGGUGGGGGGCAUAGAGAUCAGGGCUUGCGAGAGUGACCAUAAGCGGCUGAUCAGACCGUGUGGGAGGAUUGGCUGCUCUUCUGGGAUGAUGUAAUCGCAUAGCCUCUUCCAUUACGAGCAGAGCAGUUUUGCACCCGAGCAGAUUUCUUUUAAAAGUACUCUGCACAAAUUGCUGAAUGAACCAGGAAAUGCUGCACUUUCAUAAAUCAUUAUAGAAGGGAAGGGGUGGAUAAGUCCUCCUGAAUCACGGACAUUCGGUUUGUCAGAAUCAUCCGUCACUUCUUUUGUGAAGCUUGCCCCAUGGCCGUGGGUGGGGUGGGGGAUGUGCUGUGUCUGUGAUGUCUGUUUUCACAGCCAUCCCUCCUCUGAACAUUUGUUGGCAGUUCAGUAAAAACCAAGGCAGAAACAAGCAGAGCAGGUCAAGCUCUGUAAGUUCCCCAUUGAUCAGGCAGAAGAGCAGAGUUGUCCAAAGCUUUGUUCAUUCCUGGUGUUUGUCACGUGUUCGUCAGUGUAGACCUAGUUCUCUGCUCUGCUAAUCUUUUCACAAAAGAAACUGACUCAGUUGUGUGUCGUGGGGUCCGAGAAGCCAUAAGAACACAAGCAGAGCUCAGCUAGAUCAGAUCAGAGGGCCGUCAGGGCCAGCAUCCUAUUUCACACGGCAGCCAAUGCUCUGUUACUCGGAAUCCAUUAUGUGCUACAUGCACUUUUGGUCUUUGGCAUUCAUCUGUUCAGUUUGCAUGUUUUGGAUUUUUUGAGACCAUUGGGAUAAUAAAAGGGGCAUUGUGGUAGGUGAACACGAGACUGUCUUGUCGAAGGCUUUCAUGGCCGGAAUCAACUGGCACUUAUGGAUUUUUCUGGGCUGUGUGCUCAAAAGUGCCACAGAGAGAAACACCUCUUACUGUUGACAUGCCUCUGAAGGCGCCAGCCGUAGAUCCAGGUGAAAUGUUGGGAGCAGAAACAAUCACACCACGGCCACACAGCCACAACAGCCAGACUAGGAGAUUAUUGUCAUGGUGGAGUGAACAGACAAGAGACUAGUCGUGAGCUGCUCUCUGUACAAGUGACUCACCUUUCUGGUCCGUUAGAGAAAAUGCCAACACAAUGGUUCCAUGCUAACAGGAGGUCAUUUCAAGAAUGUGGAAGCUUUUGAGUUCAUCAGGACUCAUUGUCAAGAUGGGUGUUACAAAGAGAGGGAGGGAGAUAAACAAAGCCCAGCGUUUGUGCGGUUAAAGAUGGGACAUGGAAAGUGUUAACUGUGAUUUAGGUUAAGCUGUGCUUGGUGCCAAAGGAGCAUAGUUGACCUAAUUAAAAUCUCAGUGUCACCCUUCUUUCAUGCCACCUUGUCUAAUAAUAAAGUCGGUGGCUCUGUGCAGAACUGCACAAUGGGGCCAGCAGCAAAGAGAGGCAGUUCUGCAUACCUGAAGGGAUCGCUCCAACAGAGAGAGAGAGAGAGAGAGAGAGAGAGAGAGAGAGAGGACAGAAUGGGAUGUCCUGGAACCCUUGGCUGCAGCUGGCAGAGCAAACGAACAAGGCCUGUGACUUGCUGGAUGGACGUGUGUGGUUUCUUCUGGCUUCCAUCCAGCCUACAGGGCCAUGGAGGAAGGCAGGAAAAAUGCCUUUUUCUGACUCUUCAACCUUAGCAAUAUAUGGCAGUUUUUCUAGAGGGCUGGAUUUCUCAGCACAGGAUGUUCGGAAUCAGCAGCCUGGCUCUUAAAAGCAUGCAGAACUCAGCCCUCGAGGGAAGAGAAACUACCCUUUUAGGGAGGUGGUUAAGCAAUGGUUUGGAGAAUACUCCAUGUGACCCUUUGGAUUCAAACCCCCCCCCCCCCCCAGAUUUAAUCUAUUACACCCUGUAUGAUUCUCUGUCAUUCACCAAAGUAUUGGUUUACUCCUUUCUCUUUCCCCUUUUGCUUUUGCCUAACAUCCAGCCAGGUGAAGAAUCGUCGUGCACUCAAAAACCUGCCCAUUUUUCGUGUCUUGGUCCCCUGAUAAACUUUGUUAGUUGUGAAUUUGGGUCUACUGCCCCCGCCCCCCAUCCCCCAUAAAAGGGAGGAGUGAUGAACGCUCAUACCGUGGGGCUGUUACGAGGAUUAUAAUUAGAUAAGGAAGUAUCAUUCCGUCCUGUUUGCUCCAUGCUAGCACAGCCCCCACAGGCUCCCCAGGGCCCUUGUGUGCCAUGUUGCUGACUCAUGACUGCUCUAUAGAAAGGGUGAGAGGCGGCAUUAACAUACUCGCUGCUUGAGCAGAAAAAAAAGCUUUUCUAUCCUGAUUAAUUGGUGGGGUUCUGGGGAGGGUAAGUGGUUGAUGAGGCGCUCAGACAUGGAAGGAGCAGAAGUUUGUGAACCAUUUGACAGCACGCAUGACGAUGCAUUAACACUGUCAGGCCGAUUGUCUGUCAAGGUCAAUAUUGCCUGCUGCGGCUGGCUGCUCCCCACGACUUCUGACAGAGGUCUUUCACAGUCACCAGGACUUCACCUUUAUUUCAAGGGGAGGGGAUGGGAAUUGAACUCAAAACCUUUUAUGAGCAAGGCAGAUUCUGCCCCAUUGAGCUAAGGCCCCACUUUCCCCCAAAAAAACUGAAGCUGUCUUCUACAGAAUCAGGCCUCUGGUCUAUCGCUCAAGGUCUGUAUUGUCUGCUAUCACCAGCAGCAGCUCCCAAGAGUCCCAGGUAGAAAUCUUUGACAUGAUGCACUGGCUGUUUGAACUGGGGGGAUUGAAUCCGGAACCUUCUGCGGGCAAUUACGUGCUCUGCCACUGAACCGCAGCCCUUCCCGAUUGGUGGGUCGGACAGCAGGAAGCGGCCCGUUGCAGACAAGAGGGGUGGUAGGUUUCUGGGGCCGUUCUGUUAUGUCUAGCUGCUCACUGGGUCUCCCUCCUC